AGCAGCCGCGGUAAUUCCAGCUCCAAUAGCGUAUAUUAAAGUUGUUGCAGUUAAAAAGCUCGUAGUUGAAUUUCGGGAUUCUACCGUCGGUCGGGCUACCAAGUCUGUACUGGUGUGUAGAAUUCCUACCUUCUGGGGAACCAUCAUGUUAUUAAUUUAGCGUGGUGGGAAACCAGGACCUUUACCUUGAAAAAAUUAGAGUGUUCAAAGCAGGCUUAUGUCUGAAUACAUUAGCAUGGAAUAAUAGAAUAGGACAGUGGUCCUGUUUUGUUGGUUUCUGAAUCACCGUAAUGAUUAAUAGGGAUAGUUGGGGGCAUUAGUAUUCAAUUGUCAGAGGUGAAAUUCUUGGAUUUAUUGAAGACUAACUUCUGCG
rnacentral:rRNA from 1 species